GUAUGGGGCUUUGUCACAUGCUCUGUAGGAUUGGCCGGCGCCUGCCGACGUUUUCCAACCAUUCUUUCCAGGUUGACCUCGGAUCAGGUAGGGAUACCCGCUGAACUUAAGCAUAUCAAUAAGCGGAGGAAAAGAAACCAACCGGGAUUGCCUCAGUAACGGCGAGUGAAGCGGCAAGAGCUCAAAUUUGAAAGCUGGCUCCUUCGGAGUCCGCAUUGUAAUUUGCAGAGGAUGCUUUGGGUGCGGCCCCCGUCUAAGUGCCCUGGAACGGGCCGUCAGAGAGGGUGAGAAUCCCGUCUUGGGCGGGGUGUCCGUGCCCGUGUAAAGCUCCUUCGACGAGUCGAGUUGUUUGGGAAUGCAGCUCUAAAUGGGUGGUAAAUUUCAUCUAAAGCUAAAUACUGGCCGGAGACCGAUAGCGCACAAGUAGAGUGAUCGAAAGAUGAAAAGCACUUUGAAAAGAGAGUUAAACAGCACGUGAAAUUGUUGAAAGGGAAGCGCUUGCGACCAGACUCGCCCGCGGGGUUCAGCCGGCAUUCGUGCCGGUGUACUUCCCCGUGGG
rnacentral:rRNA from 1 species